rnacentral:snRNA from 1 species
AACGGCGCGUUACGUAUGUUUAAGGUAGAGAAAUGUUAUGNNNNNNNNUAGUAUCUGUUCUUAUCAGCUUAACAUCUGAUAGCUCUCCCAUUGGGAGACAACAAAUGUUAAACUGAUUUUGGAAAGGGAAGACAGCUCGGAGCUUGCUCCACUUCUUCCACGGGUUGGCCCGGUAUUGCAGUACCGCCGGGAUCGGCCCACAUUGA